rnacentral:tRNA from 1 species
GCCAGUGUGGUGUAGUGGUUUUAGUGUUGGACUAUGACUCUGGAGACCAGGGUUCAAAUCCUGGCUUGGCCA